rnacentral:sRNA from 1 species
AGUGCUCAUAAUGAGUGCCCCCAUGGGACU